ACGACCGAUUUCCUCUGGUGUUCAGAGUCAGAUGGAGUUUUCUAGCACCAUUUGAAAUCGGUUGU
rnacentral:pre_miRNA from 1 species